rnacentral:rRNA from 1 species
UACGUAGGGGGCAAGCGUUGUCCGGAUUUACUGGGCGUAAGCGUGCGCAGGCGGUUCGUUAUGUCCGAUGUGAAAGCCCCGAGCUCAACUUGGGAAUGGCAUUGGAAACUGGCGGGCUGGAGUGUGGCAGAGGGGGGUGGAAUUCCAGCGUGUAGCAGUGAAAUGCGUAGAGAUGUGGAGGAACACCGAUGGCGAAGGCAGCCCCCUGGGCCAACACUGACGCUCAGGCACGAAAGCGUGGGGAGCAAACAGG